GAUGAAGAACGUAGCGAAAUGCGAUAAGUAGUGUGAAUUGCAGAAUUCAGUGAAUCAUCGAAUCUUUGAACGCACAUUGCGCCCCUUGGUAUCCCGAGGGGCAUGCCUGUUCGAGCGUCAUUUCACCACUCAAGCCUGGCUUGGUGUUCGGCGACGUCCCCUUUGGGGACGCGCCUCGAAACGCUCGGCGGCGUGGCACCGGCUUUAAGCGUAGCAGAAUCUUUCGCUUUGGAAGUCGGGGCCCCGUCUGCCGGAAGACCUACUCGCAAGGUUGACCUCGGAUCAGGCAGGGAUACCCGCUGAACUUAAGCAUAUCAAUAAGCGGAGGA
rnacentral:misc_RNA from 1 species